rnacentral:ncRNA from 1 species
CGAAUCCGCGCGGGAGAGUUCCAGCCGUCCCGUGCUGGACGCCGAAGGAGCAAGUUCCUCCCUUGAAUCUCUCAGGCCCCGUACCGCGCGGGUGAG